rnacentral:rRNA from 1 species
GACAGAGGGUGCAAACGUUGUUCGGAAUUACUGGGUGUAAAGCGCGUGUAGGCGGCCAACUAAGUCGGGCGUGAAAUCCCACGGCUCAACCGUGGAAGUGCACUCGAAACUGGAUGGCUAGAGUCCUGGAGAGGAAGGUGGAAUGCUUGGUGUAGAGGUGAAAUUCGUAGAUAUCAAGCGGAACACCGGUGGCGAAGGCGGCCUUCUGGACAGUGACUGACGCUGAGACGCGAAAGCGUGGGGAGCAAACAGG